rnacentral:lncRNA from 1 species
GCGGGAGGAACCGAGCUCAGUCUCCCGCUACCUCUACGCCAGCCCCGACCGGGCUGCUCCUGCCCAAGCCUCCCCAACUUCCCGCGAGGUUAAGGUGCAGGCAAGCUCCCAGAGCUCCCCCUCCUCCCUGCCCCAAGAAGUCACGACAUAAGAUGUAUUACAAUGUCUAGCAAAUAAAAAAGCAAUUGGGGGAAAUCUGAAUUCGUUCCCAUGGCAACCCAAUGCAGCACACCCGGCCACUCAGGCUCCCAGCCCCUCUUAACUGGGCUCAGGGAGUGGGGCUUGCCCCUGCUCAGUGCGUGGGGGUCCCGGCCCCACACAGUGCUAGGGUCCCUCUCGAGUUUCUCAUCUGCCUUCAGGUCACUUUCCACCCUGAUGCCUUGGCUUGUCCUGAAGCUCAGGGCCCCUGUAGCUUGGGAAACCUCCCAAGCUCCCCAGCGAGUGGCUGUAGACCAAGGAAGGGACCCUGCCCGGCUUCAGGGAAGAAAGGAAGAAAGUUACUCCCCUGCUGGUGCCUCCCUCCUUGGCGCGCUUCCCACCUGCGAUCGGCGCCCUCUUCGCAGUCACGAACUCGCCAGCAGCUAGCAGCACUGACUAGUAGGAGGGCCCGCCGGAGGAGAGGACAUGCUCUGGAGUCAGAAGACAGCGAAAAGAGAAGCAGAAGCCCCGGUGGCAAGAGUCUGAAGGAAGGAUGACUGUAGCCUGUGGAUUGUACUGCAGUAGGAAACUGUCCUAGCAAGGCUCCACUUUGCCCCAGCUUCAAGCUGGAAAGGAGGAGAACAUGAAACAUUGCUUGAAGACAAUGGCCGAGACAGCAGGUCCCACCCUGCACAGCCACCAGCAUCUCUCCCCUCAGCCCUGUCUCCUCUUCUGCAGUUGGGAUCUGCACAUUUAAGCCUGAAAUUGUCCUGUGAAGUGAAGUAUGAUCGGACAGCCUCUUUUCAGCUUUUAUGACAAUGGAGACAGAGGAAUUGUGGCUCUUGCCAAGGUCACAGGAUUGGAAUACAGAGCCAAGCCACCCCAGGACAUGCAAGAGCCUCAGAAGGGAAAAAAGCCCAGCAGGAAGGGAGAACAAGUAGCCUCUGUCCUGAAGUUGUAACAGCCAGGGGCCAGGAUGGAGGAGGAGGACCCCAUAAUCUGCCCAUCUGGGACUUGGCAGGGGACCUGGGAAAAUGUACCCCAACCCAUCCCUUAAGGGCCUUUGUCUUUGGCCCAUUGGCCUAGCAUCUACUUCUUCACCGUGUCUGUUCUUGUCACACCUAGUCAGGUCUGUUUGGGUCUGAGGUGCAUGGAACAUUCUGGGUAGGCCUCCAGCAAACGGAAGCUCUUCACCGUGUUUCCAGCCUGGGACCAAGGGCAGCAUACUGGCAAAGUUGCCAAAGCAAGGGACUCCAGCCUCUUAGGAGUUAAUGACUCCCUCUCCCCAGCUGUCCUCCCCUUGGUGCUCCUCUUCCUCCCUCCUCCUGCUCACAGCAGGCAGGGCCUAGACCCGGGAGCCAUGCUGCUGUGCUGUUGCCAGGGGAGCACGGAGGCAGAUCUGAGCUAUGCAGGGAAAAGGCCCAGCCUGUCAAAGUGUCUGAGAUGAACCGCCGCCGUCCCUGUGCAGCUGGGCUCAGACGUGUCUCAGCUCUUGUUCUGUGCCUGAGAAUGGCGAAACCCAGUGAGGUUCAAGGGCAAACUCGCUAUUCAUUAGUCAGGGGUUCUUGACGUCCCGUCUCUCCCAGGGAUGAGUUCCCCCCUCCUCUUUCUCCCCCUCCUAUGACACAUUCCUGGGUGCCUUUGGUGAGGACUGCACACCCUCCUCCUGCCUAGCCCCCUCUCCAAAGGCCCCUGAAUAAACUCCCCCCAAGGAGACCAGGCAGGGCAGAGACAAUGGCUGCAGGAAAUCAUUCAGGCGGGACAUGCUGGCCUGCCCUCCACCCAGUCCCCCUGUGGGCCCCACUCCCUUCUGAUUCAGGGCACCCUUGGGCCCCCAGCCUAUACAGGCCUGGACAGGAAGAAACCACUGGGAACCACCCUAAGGACAACAUGCUAGUCCAGUGCCAUUCUUCGCUGGCUCUGUGGGUGCCUUUGUGGCCUGUACCGACUGGCUGGCUAAUUUUGUGGUUUCUGUACCAUCACAUGCCUAUUUUAAGACACUCUCCAGCACUGUCGGUUAGGGAGUGUAAAUUUUGCAAUAUUUUCUGAAAUGUGGCAAUAUCAAAAUGUAAAAGGCACACAUACUUGGUCACAAACAAAUGGCACUAUUUACUCUGUGGGCAUAUUUGUAAAAGUUGCCAAAGAAUUAUAUACAAGGAUGUUCAUCAGAGCAUUUCUUUUGAAGAGUAAAGAAAUGGACAUGAACCUGUGGUCCGUUCAUACGGUGGAAUACCUAUGCAGCUGUAAAAAUCAGUGUGGUAGAUCUCCGUAUAUGAGUUGAUGUGGAAGGUUGGCCAGUUCACAUGAUAAGGUGAAUAGAAUAAGUUACAGAACAGGCUGUAGAGUAUGAUCUUAUUUGUAGAUGUUUAAAACUGAGUCAUAAGUAUGCUUAUAUACAGAUCGUUUCUGGAAGUAUGUACUGGAAGUCUACCUCUGGGGAGUGGGGAUGGGGGAGUGCACUCUUCUAUACUGUUAUAUUUUCUUUUCAUGCUCCUAAGGUACUUUUAUUGGAAGAUGUAAAGCGGUUCAAUGUAAUAGGCUUAACUUCUGUCAACUAAGUUGGCGUGGGUGCUUUAAGAGGGUGGUAGUGAUGUUGCUGGAGAAAGUAUCCCACAGUCACUGGUGGCUUCAGCCACGGGCCAUUUUGGGGCCUAAUAAUCACAUAUCAUCAUGGUUGCUAGUGUUAAUCGAAAACCUACUAAGUGCCAGGCUUACUGUCUCUGGGUCUUGCUUACGUGGAUGUCAUUUUUCCAGUUGCACCAAAUCGAAAGAGGUUAAUUGGUUUGUUGGAGUUCCUUUGUAGGUGAAGGGCAGAGCCAGGAGCUUGGCUAGGGACAGGGGAGGUGAGUGGGGGAUGGUGGAUAGGUCUUGGCUCCCAGUUUCCUUCUGGGCAGACAUUGCCCCUCUGCCCUGAGGACCUGCUUGUUUGGGGGAAGAGGCCUUUAGAGGCACCAGGGUCAUGCCAGGUGUUGGACAUGGUGAACUGGGAAGUGCUCCCAUCUGGCCACAGCGCAGAAGUAUCACCGUGCUGGGGGAUGGGGAACAGGGCUGUGAAUGGGCCUAUUUGCAUAAGCAGCAUGUGUCUGGAGAGAAAGACAUCACAGAGCAGAAGAGUGCGGGUGCCCAGGAGUGCACUUGCCACCCCUACUUCAUCCCUGAAAGAGUAAAUGGCCUGGAAGGUGUCUCUGAGAGGUAAUGCCGCACACCACCCUCCCUGGGGGCAGGGUCAGGCUACACCUGCCUUAGGUCGGGGGCUGCAGCAGCCUGAGAGCUCUCAGUAGGGCCUCAGUAGCCUGGGAGGGAGCAGGGGCAGGGGGCAGGGAAAGAGGCGUAAUGGGGCUGUCCAGAGGGGCCUGGGAAACCUGGUCCCUGAGGCCUGGGCACAGCUACAAUCACUUCAAAUUGGCUGUGGGGCCAGUGGACUGGGAAGGAAAAAAGCAAUAAGAGUGACCAAGUGCAGAAGGCUGUCAGGUCCCAGGUCACAUGCCUUAGUGCAGUGACUCCUCAUCAUUUUAUGGGGUGUGGGUGUCGUUGGUACACCCAUUUUACAGAUGAGGACACCGAGGCCCAGAAAAGUUAAGUUACAUGUCCUAAGUCACACAGCUUGUAAGUGCCAGAACUGAGAUCAAAACCAAGUCUCUUUGACUUUAAAGUCUGUACUCUGACCCCAAAGAGAUCCUGUUUGGCCACUUAUAGGAGGUCCCUAAAGCUGCAGACUCCCCUUGCCGGCACCCACAUAUAGAGACAUUAACCCUUCCCCUGCAGGGUCACCUCAAAUAGUCUUUUAGCUGGGCUUCUCCUGCAAUUCCACCUAAUGCCAUCCCCUGGGUUUUGCCCAAACCUGAACUGGGCAGUGGGGUGAGAGGAGGGGUUUACAGGGUUACAGAGCCUCAUACAGAUAGGAGCCCAUGGCUGCUGGUCAUCUGCAUUCCUGCAGGAUUGGCUGUUCCUUGGGGUCCUUGGCAGGAAAAUGAGGAUUGCUCCGAGGCCUGCUCCAGUACUUCCCAGAGGCUGGCCUGGUGUGGGGCUCUGGGAAGGCUGAGGCUGGAGAAGCGUAAGUAGGAGGGCAGAGAUGGCACUCAGGUAGCUUGAAUCACCAGGACCCUUCCAAGCCCCACAGGUUCUGAGGGAGUACUAGGGCCAGCUCUGGGAGAGGUCUCUUCCUAUGCUGUGAACCCCCUGCCUUUCUUGCAGCCUACAACGAAUAAAUUUUCUUUGCAAAG